rnacentral:lncRNA from 1 species
AUGUUUUUUGCCCCGAAUGUCACAGCUCCUUUCCCCCAGUUCCCUCCUGUCCCUCUGCCUCAGUACUUUUCCACUCCACCUGCCUCUGCUCCACUCUACCUGCCAGCCACUCCCACCCCGUCAGCUCAACUCCACUCACCUGCAAGCACAGCUGCAGCUUAUUCCCAAUCAGCCCUGCUUAUUAGCCUCCCCUGCACCCUCACUCAUCGCCAGAUUGUUCUUCAGCAUUUCCAUGCAAGCCUCUCCAGCACUUCCUACCUUCCUACCUUCCUACCUUCCUACCUUCCUACCUUCCUACCUUCCUACCUUCCUACCUGCCUGACCUGUUUACCUCUGACCUGCCUGCACCGCCUGCCUCCCGGUAAACUCACCAGCCUUCCGUCCCUGACGACGACUUCUGCCUCAGCGUUUCUGGUUCCUGUCUGCUCACCUGGUCCUGACUUCUCCGCCUGGCCCGACUUCGCUGCUGCUCAUCCCCAUUCUGCUCUGCUGCAUCAUCGGCCUCAUCUCCUGUCCUUACCAAUGGUCCCAGCUCUCCAGAGUGCUGCUUUUGGUUCCUAAUUACACCCAUCACACUGACUGUGUCCUGUUGAGUGGGUAACCCAUGAACGGAGCCAGGUGAAGGUGUAACCAGGUCUUUAUGCUCUGCGUGGACCUGGGAGGCCCAUCUUCCGAUGGUGUCCUGUCCUUGAUCUACAGGUGUGUUCACCUUUUACUCACAGCCACACACCAGCUCUUUAUCUACCCAAAAAAACCCAAACAGAAAGACAAAGUUCAGAUAUCCAAGGUAGUUUUCUGUGUCUAGUAGUUCCUCUCCUUUCCUCUCCUCAUCAAGCAGACUAGUUAUGCUGAUUCUUGUGUAGUUUUUCUGCUUCUCUUCCCCCCCCCCCCCCCCCCCCCCCCAUUUAUUUACAGGUAUCGCCGCCCUCGGAGCUGUAUAAUGACCUCCGGCCCCGCUGAAGUGAUUGUGCAUCAUAUUUUUUGUGUGUGUUUCUGUGCUCUGUGCCUCUCCUCCUUUUCCUCUCCUCUUUCCCCUCCUUCUCCUCUCCUCUACCUCCCCUUCACUCUACUUCUCCUCUCCUCUACCCCUCUCCUCUCCUACCUAUCCUAUCCUCUACCUGUCCUCCCCCUUCUCCUCUCUCUUUACCCAGCCGGCCAUCAGCAGGAGGGUCCCCCUACAUGAGCCUGGUCCUGCUCAAGGUUUCUUCCUGUUAAAGGGGAGUUUUUCCUUGCCACUGUUGCUUGUCUGGGGUCAGGCCCUGGGAUUCUGGAAAGCGCCUUGAAACAAUUUUGAUUGUAUAAGACGCUAUAUAAAUAAAGAUUGAUUGAUUGUGUC